AACGCGAAGAACCUUACCUGGGCUUGAACUGCACCGGACAAAGGUAGAAAUACCUCUCCCGCAAGGGCUGGUGUAGAGGUGCUGCAUGGCUGUCGUCAGCUCGUGCCGUGAGGUGUUGGGUUAAGUCCCGCAACGAGCGCAACCCUUACCCUUAGUUGCCACCCGCAAGGGGGAACUCUAAGGGGACUGCUCCGGAUAACGGAGAGGAAGGUGGGGAUGAGGUCAAGUCAGCAUGGCCUUUAUGUCCAGGGCUACACACGUGUUACAAUGCAUGGUACAGACCGCUGCAAACCCGCGAGGGGGAGCUAACCGGAAAAAACCAUGCUCAGUUCGGAUUGCAGUCUGCAACUCGACUGCAUGAAGCCGGAAUCGCUAGUAAUGGCGUAUCAGAACGACGCCGUGAAUACGUUCCCGGGCCUUGUA
rnacentral:rRNA from 1 species